GUGGGGAAUAUUGGGCAAUGGGCGCAAGCCUGACCCAGCAACGCCGCGUGAAGGAAGAAGGCUUUCGGGUUGUAAACUUCUUUUAUCAGGGACGAAACAAAUGACGGUACCUGAUGAAUAAGCCACGGCUAACUACGUGCCAGCAGCCGCGGUAAUACGUAGGUGGCAAGCGUUAUCCGGAUUUAUUGGGUGUAAGGGGCGUGUAGGCGGGAAAGCAAGUCAGAUGUGAAAACUAUGGGCUCAACCCAUAGCCUGCAUUUGAAACUGUUUUUCUUGAGUACUGGAGAGGCAGAUGGAAUUCCUAGUGUAGCGGUGAAAUGCGUAGAUAUUAGGAGGAACACCAGUGGCGAAGGCGAUCUGCUGGACAGCAACUGACGCUGAGGCGCGAAAGCGUGGGGAGCAAACAGGAUUAGAAACCCGUGUAGUCC
rnacentral:rRNA from 1 species